CUAAUGGACUUAAACAGAGUUGACAAGUUUUAAUUCAUUGCAGUUAAUACUUGAUGCUCAAAUUGUCCUGUUGGCCAAUUAGAGACUCUUCAGUUUGGCUCUUAAGUUCUUUUGAUGUGAUGUUUUAGACUUAUUUUGACAUUACAAGACAUUUUAGGCUUAUCUCGUAAACUUCUUGCCUGAGACUUAGAGUCAGCCAUUUAUCCAGGAAGGCUUGGUUUCACUGACAUAUAUAUUCAUAAGUAUAUAUUUUGUUUGGUUGGGGUUUUUUGUCUUUUAAGUAGGUUGAACUCCUAGCAUGGAGCUCAACAUGGGGCUUGAACUCACAACCCUGAGAUCAAAACCUGCUGUAACAUCAAGAGUCAGAGGCCUAACCGAUUGAGCCACCCAGGUAUGCCAUAUAUUUGUAUAUUUUUAAAUUAUAUUUUUAGUUCAUAUUUCCAUUUACAAUUGAAAAUUUAGUUUAUAGAGUUUCAACACUCCUUGAAUUUUAUCUUUUUUUCCCCCCUCAUGCUGGAAGUCUUGGUUCAUUCCCAAGAACAUUCACAGAACUAUUUGAUUUUCCUAUAGAAUAUAAAAUAGUUGCAAAUAACAAUGCCAAUAUUAUUAGUAAAAAUAGUUCAAAUUUUAUUUUGUUUAUUUUCAGGGUCCAGAUCCCUAGGGAUAUGUCACCAACUGGCCUAUUUUGAAGUCACUUGAAGAACUUCCUCACUCUGUGCUUACACCACCAAAUGAAUGAAAAGGAUCUGAUUCUUCUUUGGGGAGUAAAUAAGUGCAGUCAGGAGCCUGCAAAAUCAUUUCAGUCCUCAACGGCUAUUGUACCUACAGCAAAGCCUAAGGUAAUUAACGUGCCUGCUUUCCAGGCAACGGUGCUGGCCAUCACUCAGGUGCCCGAGCUGGAAACAGAGAUUGCAUUUGAUUCCUUUUUCUACCCCAUCACUCCUUUAAACGAGUCAUCAAAUCCUGAUCAUUUUAUCUAUGAAUGCCUCACAUUUUCCUACUUCUCUGUGACCUUGCUGCCCCCACCUCAGUCCUGAUCCCCUUCCCUCUUCUCUGUGCCGUCACAAUAUCCACGGUUCCCUCUUCUGGUACCAUCUCCGAAUGUCAGUUUCUCAA
rnacentral:lncRNA from 1 species